ACAAGCGACUCGUGGGCGUCAAUACUGGGCUGAGUUUGUGGCGCGCUUAGUGAUGGGAUGGCCCUGUGCAGGACGCCGACACGAAAAGAUGAAGAGUUCAAUCCGUGCUGUCUGAACUCACAGUGUAGCAGGCGAGAUAGACGGGAAGAUCGGUAGGGUGGGAGAUGCCGGAAAGGCUUCCCGUGAGACUGGAUAAGAAAUCAAAAAUCUGGUGAAAUUGCCGGCAAGAGGGAGUUAAGGACAUUCCAGGCAGAGGCAAGUUGGUCCUUGCUGGCUGAUCCAGCUUCCCCGUCAGCAUAUGGUGAGCAGUUCGGUGAGAGGACCACACUUCCAAUACUGGCAGAUGAAGCCAGAUACUCCUCUAUGAAGUUAAAUGACUGGUUCAGUGUUAACACUGCUAGUGAGCGACAGAGAUGGAAUUUGAACGCACACCUGUCUGACUCCACCUCGUGUUCCUUCCACAUGGCCAGCAAGCUCUGCUGUCCCACCUCGCACUUCUGGGAGGUGGCUACUCCCUCUUUCCACCCCCUUUUCUGGAUCUUGACAAGGGAUUCUACCCUGCCCCAGCUGUCAAAGCCUGCAGCAGCUGCCAAAAAACCUCAACACAGGCAUACUUUGGACCUACAUCAUGUGUUGAUGUCACAGAUGCUGUACCAGGCAUUUGACUCCUUGAUCUAAAGCCAGGAUUCCUAGCCAACAUGGCGAAACCCUGUCUCUACUAAAAAUAACAAAAAUUAGCUGGGCAUGGUGAUAGGCACCUGUAAUCCCAGCUACUUGGGAGGCUGAGGCAGGAGAAUUACUUGAACCCAGGAAGCGAAGGCUGCAGUGAGCAGAGAUUGUGCCUCUGCACUACAGCCUGGGCUAUGGAGUAAGACUCUGUCUCAAAAAAAAAAAAAAAAAAAAAAUAGUGAGGGGGAUGCAUGCCCACACAAAGGAAUCCUGAUAGAGGAACAAUGGCUUGGUCCGUUUCCCCUCCUGUGUAGCACUGUGAUAAAGGAAAGCCUUUCAGGUAUGUGCCUCGAUGGAGCCAGUGGGUGGAAGAGGAAGGGCAAUGAGAGGUUUGAGGACAAGCUGCUGAUACCCUCAUGUGUCAUCACAGUGGUGCCCUUUGGGAGCCUGCUUUGGUAUACUCGUCCACUCAGGGAAGAGGAAGUCUCUUAUCCACAGUUUUGUCUUCAAAAUUGAAAUUUCUUUGGGCAGAGCCUAAAAGAGAGUUGCCUCAUUUCGUGUAACUGUAGCAUAUGUAGUGUAGAGGCUCCAAUGUGUUUUUGAGGCAAUCUGAGAGCUCUUUCUGGAAAUCCCUGGCAGAUGACAUCUGCGUCUGAUUUUACUUUGUCUUACAACCAGGCUAAGACCUCCAGCAUCAUCAGACUGUCGAACUGCUCAGGUCAAGGCAGACAGGUAGAAAGGCCCACAUAGAUAGUGGUUACUCAUCCCAAGAACACAGAGGCCCACACCAGGAAGGGGCAGGUGAUGUUAAUGAUGAGGCAGGCAAUUAUAUCUUGCGAUUUCUAUGAGCCAUGAUGCAUUACAGUAAGGAACUUUACCUCACUUGGCUUGUGACUUCUGUUAGUGAAAAGUGGCCUGCUGGCCUAUGCUGUGGAGGACUUGCAGAAAACUUCCCAGUCACCGGCAGACGGUUGACAUCUCCCCUGGUUCCUCCCCAACCCGUUUAGUGUGAAACGGGACAAAGGGAAACAUUUCCUUUGAUCUAUUUUUGGGGAAAGAGGCAAAUGUCAACUAAAUAAGAUCAUAUUAGGGACUGGGCAUGGUGGCUUAUGCCUGUAAUCCCAGCACUUUGGGAGGCCAAGGUGGGCGGAUCACCUGAGGUCAGGAGUUAGAGACCAGCCUAGCCAACAUGGCGAAACCCUGUCUCUACUAAAAAUACAAAAAAUAUUAGCCAGGUGUGGUAGCACGCGCCUGUAAUCCCAGCCACUCGGGAGGCUGAGGCACGAGAAUCACUUGAACCCAGGAGGCGGAGGUUGCAGUGAGGCGAGAUCACACCACUGCACUCCAGCAGCCUGGGUGAUAGAGACUUGACUCAAAAAAAAAAAAAUCCUAUUAGGAAUUUCAUGAAAGCUCACACAGUUCUUGCACACAUCAUUCAAGGCCUGUUAUGGGGGCCCAGAACAUCAGGACACAGUAGCUAGCCUCACAUUCAGCUCCAUUGCACUAGAGCUUUGCAUGAUCUCAAUUUGAAAAACACACAUGUAUAUCCUACAUUUGUAUCUCUAUUCUAAUAUUAUAUACUGUAUAUGACUUUUUAAAAUAUUGGUUUGCUGUUUCUAUUUUGUGCUAAUGCAACAAAUCUAAUUUGUUUUAGAAACAGUUAUUACUGUUUCUUGCUUCUUAUCACCCCCUACCGUUUGGACUCUGUUGUCCAUCUUUCUCUGCCUAAUUGGACCACAGCCUGGUGCCUCAAUCCCCACAAAAUCUGUUCCCUUCUAGCUCAAGAUGACUGCAUUCUCUCUCAGUUCGCAGUGUACUCAUGGGCUGCUCAUUCAUCUGCCCUUGUGCUCUGUGCCUUUUUGGCAUCUGCGGGUAAACUCAGUGCCACAUAUCUCUAUUCUGUUCACUCCUAAUGUUUGUAUUGUCUUCCCAAGGGACCUCUCUUAUGGCCCUGCUGGGCUCCUCCCCUUACCCACAUGUGCCAAGCAUAGAAAUCAAGGCAACAUUCUCAGUCCCUUUAAGGGAAGUUCCAGGUACCUAGCUAGUCCUACAGCCAGCAAUUAGGGAAGUUAACGAAUAACCUGCUAAACAAGAAGAUAAUAAUUUAAAAGCCACUCAAGUAAGUCAGAGUCACAAAAUGUUUGAUUCCCUGUAGAAACUAAAGAUAGCAUCUUGACCUAUUCCCUUGCAUUGCUUUUCAGAAAACAAUUCCCACACCAGAUGGAAAAUGCUGACCACUGUCAUAGAACUCAGACAGACUGAAACCAAAAAAUAGAUAUGGAAGUUCCAGAAAUUCCCUAGCUCUUAACUCAUUUUGGAUACCCCCUCACUCCUGCUUUAAAAACCCUUGCUUAUAAGCCAGCAGGGAGCUCAGGUGUUAAGUGCUAGGUACCCAUUCUUCUUGCUUGGCACCCAGCAAUAAACGCCUUUUUCUCACUACAAAUCUCAGCGUCAAUGUUUGGCUUUUUUGGCAUGCUGGGCAACCAGAACCAACCCCAUCUUUGUGUGCCUGCAUCCAAUUCUGAUGAGCCUAUGUAUGUCAGGUUGGUCAAGGCCCUUUGUGCUGAACACCAAAUCAACCUAAUUAAGGUUGAUGACAAGAAACUAGGGGAAUGAGUAGGCGACCUCUGUAAAAUUGACAGAGAGGGGAAACCCUGUAAAGUGGUUGGUUGCAGUUGUGUAGUAGUUAAGGACUAUGGCAAGGAGUCUCAGCCCAAGGAUGUCAUCAAAGAGUACUUCAAAUGCAAGAAAUGAACAAACCUUUGUCUCACAAAAAAAAAGCCCACAAACUUUUGAAUGAAAUCUACUUAUAUGAUGUGACACACAUUUCUUUCAGACAUGGAUUUUGAAAUCCUAUCAAUAAAAGCCACCAAGUGAGACACUCAGUUCUGGUUUUGAGCAUGUACCUGCUCCGUUUCCUGGUAUCUGCAAAUUAGGGUGGCCCAGUGCAGGCUCCUGACCGUUUGACCAUGACAGGCUGUCUGAACCCUGGGAGCUCAUCGUGCCCAUCGUCAGAGAUGUCCGUAUGUGACACAGCAGAGACUACCCCACAGAUAACAGACGAAAGCCAGCAGAGUACAAGGCCUAAAUGUGCAUGUCCUUCUGUUUCCUUUUUUUUUUUUUUAGGGGUUCUGACUGAGCAGGCAGAUUGGAAAGGAAGAAUCAGAUGAGGAGCAAGUGCUAGGUGUUGGGGAAACAAUUUAAAUUUCCUCCCACCCCAGAAAUUCCUCUCCAUAAAAUAUAGGAAAAAGAAAAUAUUUUAUUAUUGAAUAAACAUUAAACUAGUGAUGCACAUCUUUAGCAUUCUGCUAAGGAGAUUGCAAAGACAGACAUCCCACCCUUUUAUGUGGGCAAGCAAAUAGGACCCAUUCAUUACAUACAUGUUCUCGAACUAAAGUAAGAGGACUUGACAGCACCAUUUGUCAAGCAUAAUUCAUCCUAAAUUCACCUGGUGACCAUUUGUGUUCGCUAAUUGCCUUUAUCAAAAGGAAAAAUAAAACUCAAGUUUCUAGGACAGCAGGUAGUUUUACAACUUGGAGCCAGGUGCUUAAAUGAAACUACUACCCACUGCCCUCCCACUGACAGUGGGAGGUAGGGAGCUAUCUUCCUUGAUGUCUGUAUUUUCAAAGAGAUGGUUUCCAGGCCCUUGCAGGAAAAGAGUCCUAGGUUGUAAAAUCGACUGGAGCCUUACUUAGCUUUUAAAAAGAUUUAUAUACAUUUCAAAGGGGCAGCAAAAUAUAAGUUUUCUAAAGGAAAUGCUCUAAGAAAAAGGAGGAAGCUCUUCCCCUUUUUGCAUGGGCUUGUGGGGUAACUUACAUUCUGGAAUUCACGAGGAGCAGGAAUUGGUUUCCUCCCUCCACGUGCUGGAAGGCACAGUGUAAGAAGCUUGGCAAGGCUCCAGUCGGGUGGACAAUCACUGGGAAUUCCACGCAUCAAAGGGACAAGGGACAAUCACUGGGUCCAUCCUUUACUUCAGAGGGACAAGACCCAAUGAAUGUAGAACUGGGCCACAGUUUGUCUUGGUUCUUAAGCACGCUGGCCCACACAUGAUAGGUUAUCAUUAAAUGUCUGAUGAGUAAGUGAAUGAAUGUCAGGAACCUGAGAGGCUUUAGAGGUCAUUUACCUCAGCUGAAAUUCAGGCAUCCCUUUCCCUCAGCCCUCCUUAAAUACCAGCAGUCCUGGGGAUCCCACCACUUGCCACAGCAACCCAUUUUACUGUUGGAUAACUGUAAUUAUUAUAACAUUUUUAAUAUCUGAAUAAGGAGAGAAAACAAAAUUCGAGUGCUUUCAAGGGCAGGGUACUUUUUUCAAAACAAUCCCAAGAAGUAGGUAUCCCAUGUCACAGAGGAGGGAACUCAAAAACAGAGACAUUAACUAACAGCCCAAGGUCACACAGCUAAAGGGAAAUCAUAUGUAUCGAGUGUCUGUUCUGCACCAGGCACUCAUUUAAAUAAAGAUCCUUUCACUCACAAUAGUUUACCAUACAAAUAUUACAGCAUGUCUAGAUGGGGUCUUAACCAUACCAAAGUACUGUAUUGCAUGCCUCCAUCUGCCCUGGGACUAGGACCAGGUCACACACUGCAAAGGAUUUGAGUGGAAACGAUGAAUAGACCCCUGCACACCCAUGUGCAUCAAUGGAGGACUGUGGAUGCCGUGUGCCCCCAUUCCUCUGGGCCAUUGUCAUUAACCCUUUGUCUCCCAAGGAAUGGAGCUGCCAGAGAGUUCCAGCUGCCUCAGAUCCUCCCUGGUCUCUCAGUCCAGAUUCCUAAGAUGAGGACACAGCAUCCUGGGCCACUGUCACUAAUACAAAUUUGCCUCUGGAGGGACUCUACGGAAGAUAAUUCCCCUGAAAUUUGGAGAGUUGAAUUAAGCUAGGACUGAUUCUGGCUGGAAUUUGUGGUGGCUACGUACCCUAGAGGGCCUCAAGGAAACCCACGGUUCAAGACAGCCCUGACAGAUUCUGGAGUCUAGAACAGAAAUGGAUUUGAACAUGGGCAAGGCCAACCACCCAGUUCACGGCCUGUGUACAGCAAAGAUUACGUUACAGCCUGAGAGCUAAGCCUGGAAGCUCUUUCAUCCAUCCGUUUGUCCAUCUAUCCAUCCAUCUGCUCAUCCAUCCCUCCAUCUGCUCAACAAACGUUAGAGAAUCAAUCCUUGUGUCAGAUACUGGGGCUGCCCUCAAGGAGCUUUUAUAGAGUUCAGGGUACAGCCAGGUGGGGGAGACAGAUCACUAUAAAAACCUACCACUAUAAUCCAAAGGACAAGAGCAAAAAUAGUAAAGAGGAGAGAAGACCCAAAUUUGCCUGGUGGGUCAGAGAGGGCUUUCUAGAAGAGGUAAAAAAUCUUCGGGGCUAUCACUUCACCUUGCCUGGUGGAUAAAGGGAGGACUUUCCAGAUACAGUGGACAGAAUGUGCAGAGGCAGGAGCCAUGAGUGGCAGAGGCAGGGGAGGGACUGCAGAGACAGGUUGGAGCCAAAGCACGUGGCACUGGAGCCAUAGCCAAAGGAACAAACUGUGAGACCUGGGACUUGAAUUUGGAGGUGGUGAAAAGUGACAAGGUCUUCACAGAAGAGUGAUUUUUUCAACUUAGGGAAGGCUGACCCCAGACCAAUGCUGCCAAAGUGUGGUCUGUGGGCUGUUAGCAGUUCGUGACGAUGUAAGUACAGGAAUUGAGAUUAAGCAUUUAGAACACCUACAGCACUUUGAUAGUCAUUUUACUUUUUAAAUUUUGAGCUGGCAUUUUAUAUGCCUGGUUUUUUUUUGUUUUUGUUUUUUUAUUUUUUUUGAGACAGUCUCGCUCUGUCGCCCAGGCUGGAGUGCAGUGGCGCGAUCUCUGCUCACUGCAAGCUCCGCCUCCCGGGUUCACGCCAUUCUCCUGCCUCAUCCUCCCAAGUAGCUGGGACUGCAGGCGCCUGCCGCCUCGCCCAGCUAAUUUUUUGUAUUUUUAAUAGAGACGGGGUUUCACCAUGUUAGCCAGGAUGGUCUCAAUCUCCUGAUCUCGUGAUCUGCCCGCCUUGGCCUCCCAAAAUGCUGGGAUUACAGGUGUGAGCCACCACGCCCAGCCUUAUUCUCUUUUUCUAAUAGUUGCACUUUAUCAUAUUUUACAAAUGUGUGAGUCUGCUAUGGAUUAGAAAUUAAUAAGAGAUUUUGCCACAGAUAGUUUGAGAAGCCCAGCACUGCCACUCAACAAAUGCUGGUGCAUUCAGAUGGUGAAAUAUUCUGCAGCUAUUAAAGGAGUUAAAACUGCCUCCACUUACCUGGAGGCCCAUCUGUGACACCUUUUUAGGUUAAAAGGAAAAGAAAAACUUGCUUAGGACUGAAUAUGAGCGGUUGCAAUUUGUAACAAUGAUGUAUAUAUACAUAUACAUUUUCAUGUAUUUGUAUGAACAUAAAAGUAUUGAAGGAUAUUCAUCAAACUGCUAAAAGGGUUGCUUCAGAGUAACGGACUCGGAGAAGGCAGAUUAAUUUUCUCUUAAUGGAACUCUGUAUUGUAUCACUUGUAAAAAUAAGCAUGUGUUAUCUUUAUGAUAAAAAAGUAAAAACCUAAAAAAGAAAAUUUUGAUGUGUGUUAAAAUUUUGGAUUUCUAGGCUCCACCUUUUUUGAAUGAGUCUCUCCAAGAGUGGGGCCCUCACAUGUAUAAUGAGAAAAAGCUCCCCGAUUACAGGAUGUUACCAAGCCCCGCUAGGUGUAGGAACCCUGCUUGGUACCCACCCGAGCCUCAGCAGCUCCUCCCCAUCAUGGGCAUGAUGAGGUCUCCCUGUGAGGUGUUGUGAAGACGACGGGACAGGCUGCAGUAGGCACUGAAUAAAUGAGUCCCUUCCCCUGAUGACCCUAAGGCUAUGGGAUCAUCAUCACUCCCUCCCCAAAGCCACACCUGAUUAUUCCAGCCAGCACUCGGCCUGCCCCUUUUCUGAAUGCUUUUUGAUUUUAACUUACAUUUUUCGCAUUUAAAUGUUUCAUUUAAUUUGAGAAAGAGUCUCGCUCUGUCACCCAGGCUGGAGUGCAGUGGUGCGAUCUCAGCUCACUGCAGUCUCCACCUCCUGGGUUCAAGCAAUUCUCCUGCCUCAGCCUCCCAAGUAGCUGGGAUUACAGGCGCCCACCACCACAUGUGGCUAAUUUUGUACUUUUAGUAGAGAUGGGAUUUUGCCAUGUUGGCCGGGCUGGUCUCGAACUCCUGACCUCAAGUGAUCCACCUGCCUCAGCCUCCCAAAGUGCUGGGAUUAGAGGUGUGAACCACCACAGCUGCCUUCUUUUAAUUUGUAUUUUCUAUCUCUGCGGACAAGACUUCAAAGGUGUCUAUCACAUACUUUCAGAUCUACUGAUCAUCCUCUGAAAACCAACAUCGGGGUUCACAAAAUGGAUUUAACCAAUUGGGCUCCCCAGUUCUUCUUCCAGACUCCACCCCUCCAACAGUGUCUCCAAUGACUUCCUGGCAUCACUGAACAGGUCCUUCACUUUGCCACCUCUGAGCCUUUGCUUGAGUGUUUUCUUUCCCCUGGAAUAUCCUUUCCAACCCUAUACACCGACUGAGUCAAACCUUCUGUCUUCUUUUUGAGCAUUUAUGAGCUCCUAUCAUGAGCCAUGCAUUAUGUAAGGGACCUUACAAACACAAUCAGUCUAUGUAACAAUCCUGCCAAGUAUGCUUUAUUUUGGGCAUGGGGAAACAGAGGCUCAAGAGAAGUGACCUGCCCCAGGUUUCAGUGCCAGCACACUAGUAGAGCUGGGAUUUGAACCCAGGUUUGUCUUUUGCACUGGAUUCAGCUUCCUUGCAGACCGCAGCACCUCACAUACAGCCCUUCACUGACCAGCAAUUGGAGGGAAACCACCCCUGUGGCUUAAAACCUGUGGUGCCACAGAUCAUUCCACUCAGUCAAACCCCCAAGACCGUAGAAGUGCAUUUAACACAGCAGCUCCUAGGCACAGGAUUGUCACCUCAGGGCAUAUGACUUCUAAAGUUGCAGAUUAUAAACUUGUUCUCUUUCCCUGUCCUCAG
rnacentral:lncRNA from 1 species